UCCAAUUGAAAAACAGUGCGC
rnacentral:piRNA from 1 species